rnacentral:rRNA from 1 species
UACGUAGGGUGCGAGCGUUUGUCCGGAAUUAUUGGGCGUAAAGGGCUCGUAGGCGGUCUGUCGCGUCGGGAGUGAAAACUCAGGGCUUAACCCUGAGCCUGCUUCCGAUACGGGCAGACUAGAGGUAUGCAGGGGAGAACGGAAUUCCUGGUGUAGCGGUGAAAUGCGCAGAUAUCAGGAGGAACACCGGUGGCGAAGGCGGUUCUCUGGGCAUGUCCUGACGCUGAGGAGCGAAAGUGUGGGGAGCGAACAGG